UUUGGUACUCCCUUCCUUGUGUCCAUGUGUUCCCAUUUUUCAUCACCCACCUAUGAGUGAGAAUAUGCAGUAUUUCAUUUUCUGUUCUUGUGUCAGUUUGCUGAGAAUAAUGUUCUCCAGAUUCAUCCAUGUCCCUACAAAUGACACAAACUCAUCAUUUUUGAUUGCUGCAUAAUAUUCCAUGGUGUAUAUGUGCCACAUUUUCCCAAUCCAGUCUAUCAUCAAGUUAUAGUAUUUCAAAUGGAACCUAUUAUAAUAGUAACUAAAUAUUAUCCUUAUCACCUUAUAGUAAUGUCCCUUAAUAUUUUUAUAAACAUAAUGGAAUAUAGUAUCAGCAGUUGUAGGGAGGAGGGGACAGGAAAGAGUGAUGAUUAUAAUCGUGGAAAAGAAACAUUUACCUUCUUGUCUGAGGUAUUGAGUCACCCUCUAUUUGUUGGGCACCAUGGGACUGUAGGGAAUUGCUGUCAUAAUCCUUCCAAUGCAAUCAUUGUGAGGUCACAUAGAAGAAGGGGCAGCCAGGGAGACUCAUCUCAUUGCUAAUGCAGGAUAUGUGGAGUGCUUUUUUGUAAAAGGUGGCACCAUCAACAGGGAACAGGAUGUGCCAAUGUGACAGUGAGUCACCAAGUGAAAUCAUGGCUUCUCAGGUUCUGAUGCCUGCCAGGCUGGGAGCAAUGAGAUUGGCCCACUGUCCUGUCCCCUCCAUGGAGAGAGGAAAGACAUUCAGUCCCAGGACAUACAUUCAGAGAAAAGAAAACUUGCUGUUUCAACUACUUUCAUCAUAUAAGGAUAUUGUCCUUUUUAACACUGCCAUAAAGGCAGUCCCUUUUAACACUGCCAUGAAGAACUGCCUGAGACUGGGUGGCCUUUGGCAUCACAUCCCUAUGAAGUUCCUUCCUCACUGAAUAUGGGCUGGUCUGUGACUUCUGUAACAAUUGAACAUAGCAGAAGAUAUGCUGUGCCUAUUUCAGAAACAUGCCUCAAGAAGACUUGGCAGUCCUGGCUUUUGCACUUUGGGAUCCCUUAGCCACUAUGUAAGAAGUUCACCUAUCAAGCUGGGAAGACCUUGUAGAGACCACAUAGAGAAAAAGAGGCGAGGCUACAUGGGAAGGACAGCUUCAGUCAUUUCAUUAUGCCAGCUAUAUUGAGACUUCCAGCCACCCCUACCAAGGCACCAGAUACGUAAUAAGCCAUCUUGGACAGUACCACAUCCAAAUCAAACUUCCAGAUGUUUGCAGCCCCAGACAUUGUCUCACUGCAAUGGCAAGAGAACACCAAAAGCUAAAGGACCAUCUUGCUGAACCCUUUGACUCACAGAUUUGUGAAAGAGAGAUACUGUUAAAAGAUUGAAAAGAUGAGCCAUCGAUUGGGAGAAGAUAUUUGAAACCUGCAUAACCAACAAAGGGCCCCUUUCCAGAAGAUAUGAAGAACUCUUCUAAAUCACAAGAAGGACAACACAAUAGAAAAAUGUCUGCAAAUGACUCCAGUCUCUUUACAAAAGAGGAAAUUCAAAUGACCAAUAAAUGCUCUCAUGAAAAUGUGCUCAAUGUCGCUGUGAAUCUGAAAUAUGUAAGUUAAAACAAAAUUAAAUACUCUUGCUCAUCUACCAGUUGACAAACCACUUUAAAUUGAAAAUACCAAAUGUUGAGAGAAUGUAAAAUACUGUGAACCCUCAUACAUGACUGGUGUAAAUGGUACUUUUUUUUUUUUUUAUUGUCCUCUCAAGCUGAAGACAACUUAUCCUAAAUGACUUCAGUCUUGGGGGCAUACUUUAGAAAAACGGGUACACACAUGCCCCAGGAUUAUUGCAGCCUGUAAUCAUGCAAAUCUGAGAUACCCAUCCUGCAUAAAAUGGAAAAAUUAUGGCAUAUUCAUACAAUAGUAUGCUAUGCAAUAAUGAAAAUGAAUAAACCACAUAAAUAAGCUUAACAAACACAUAUUGAGCCAAAGAAGCCAGACACAAAAAUAUGAAUUCAUAUACAUAAAAGUUCAAAAACGAACAUUUUGGGGGAUUCAUUUUAAGAGGUAAAAUUAAAAAGGAAACAAGGAAAUCACAAUAGUAGUCCCUCCAGAAGAUAUUGGGAUUUAUUUUUAUAAUUGUUUCACCUAACUAUAAAAAUGUAUGUAUGUGUACCUUCCUGAGUGUUAUAUUUUAUAGUAAAUGAAGCAAAAAUACUAUAAAAUCAAGGAUGUGUGCACAAAGAUUUAGUUAUGAAGUAUUAACUAUAACCAUGUUUAUUAUAGGGAGAAACCCCAAACUUUGAGUCACAGCUUUGGAUUAUGUAAAAGAAUGGAUCAAAUACAUCACCACACACAAAAGAGAGUUUACUCACCCUGUAGAAAUUAUAUUAGAGAAGAAUAUCUCAUGGCUUCCAAAGAUAAUUGAGAUGUAUAUUUAAAUGGGAGACGAUGUUUAUCAUACAUUAUGCACGGAUAUUUCAAUGUUUUAAAAUAAACUUUGAAUGCUAAUACACAGAAAAAGAUUGAGAGAAACACAUUAAAAUGUUAACUAAGAUUUUAUUUGGUUGGUGACUUUAUGAGCAAGUUUUGUUUUCUUUGUUUUACUCAUUAGUAUAGUUUUAAUUUUAAGCAAUGAAUAUGGAUUACUUUUGAAGGAAAUAAAAGGAGACAAUAUUCUAUCGGGAAACAAUAAUGAAAAAAGAGCCCAGAGAUCUCAAAAUGGAAAUAAGAAAUGUGGUAUCUGUUAAUAUGUAUAUUUGGAAAACACCUGGAAUCCUACCAGCUCCGAUGAGCCCAUUUGAAUAUAACUUUUCCCAACCAGUGGCCACCCACCUGGUUCCCCUUUCUCAGCAUGCAUAGCUCUGAUAGUGAAAUCAAAUACUGGCUGUCUUCUUUGGAAGUAAGUAGGGCAGUGGGGUGGGGGAAUGUGACGGGAUCCUCUGAGAACAGUCUGCUCCUAAUUGAAAGGAAGUGAAAAUCCUCCACAUGUUGCAGGGAGAGCUGAUAGAUCAUCCCCCAGUUCUCCUCCAUCUGUUCUGCUGCCUCUUAUAGAAACCAAGACAGGAAAAAUAAUAUGUACUUAACACAGGAAAUGAGGGUAGUCAUUUGAAUGAUAGAGUACCAGAACCCCUUAAAAUGUUUUGGGUGGAGUGGGCAGUGAAACAAAAGGCACCAACCACAGUGCUCAGAUCUGAUUUCAAACCGGGAAAAUGUAGGUACCUGAAGACACCAAACAAUGGUGAGCAGAGAGGACUCCACAGUCAGCACACACACAUUCCCAACGGCCAGGUGGAUUCAACCGCUGUAUACCUGUUAGCCCGUUAGGGUGGAAUUUCCCAAAUUCCCACAGCUGAGCUGUGGUACCUUGGUUUUCCCCAUGCUAUCAAUCCCCUCAGCCAUAGAGGCAAUGGUCUCAUCUCUGGGCCAGCAAUUCUGAC